AUUAAAGUAAGCUAAUAAAAGCUAGCGGGCUCAUACCCCGACAAUGGACUAUUCUCUUUAAUAUA
rnacentral:tRNA from 1 species